AGUGAACGCUGGCGGUAGGCCUAACACAUGCAAGUCGAACGGCAGCACAGUAAGAGCUUGCUCUUACGGGUGGCGAGUGGCGGACGGGUGAGGAAUACAUCGGAAUCUACUUUUUCGUGGGUGAUAACGUAGGGAAACUUAUGCUAAUACCGCAUACGACCUACGGGUGAAAGCAGAGGUUCUUCGGACCUUGCGCGAUUGAAUGAGCCGAUGUCGGAUUAGCUAGUUGGCAGGGUAAAGGCCCACCAAGGCGACGAUACGUAGCUGGUCUGAGAGGAUGAUCAGCCACACUGGAACUGAGACACGGUCCAGACUCCUACGGGAGGCAGCAGUAGGGAAUAUUCGACAAUGGGCGCAAGCCUGAUCCAGCCAUACCGCGUGAGUGAAGAAGGCCUUCGGGUUGUAAAGCCCUUUUGUUGGGAAAGAAAAGCAGCAGGUUAAUACCCCGCUGUUCUGACGGUACCCAAAGAAUAAGCACCGGCUAACUUCGUG
rnacentral:rRNA from 1 species